rnacentral:rRNA from 1 species
AGCGGGAGCCCGGAGAUGGGCACUGAGACAAGGGCCCAGGCCCUACGGGGCGCAGCAGUCGCGCAAACUUUGCAAUACACGAAAGUGUGACAGGGCUAUCCCGAGUGCCAUCCGCUGAGGAAGGCUUUUACCCAGUCUAGAACGCUGGGGGAAUAAGGAGGGGGCAAGUCUGGUGUCAGCCGCCGCGGUAAUACCAGCUCUCCGAGUGGUGUGGAUGUUUAUUGGGCCUAAAGCAUCCGUAGCUGGCUAAGUUAGUCCCUUGUUAAAUCCACCGAAUUAAUCGUUGGAUCGCGGGGGAUACUGCUUGGCUAGGGGACGAGAGAGGCAGACGGUAUUUUCGGGGUAGGGGUGAAAUCCUAUAAUCCCGGGAAGACCACCAGUGGCGAAGGCUGUCUGCU